AUUGAACGCUGGCGGUAGGCUUAACACAUGCAAGUCGUGCGAGAAAGUAUCUUCGGAUAUGAGUAGAGCGGCGGACGGGUGAGUAACGCGUAGGAAUCUACCUAGUAGAAGGGGAUAGCCCGGGGAAACUCGGAUUAAUACCGUAUACCUCCUUCGGGAGAAAGAAGGCCUCUCUUUGAAGCUUUCGCUAUUAGAUGAGCCUGCGUAAGAUUAGCUUGUUGGUGAGGUAAAGGCUCACCAAGGCAACGAUCUUUAGCGGGUCUGAGAGGACGAUCCGCCACAUUGGGACUGAGACACGGCCCAGACUCCUACGGGAGGCAGCAGUGGGGAAUAUUGGACAAUGGGCGCAAGCCUGAUCCAGCCAUACCGCGUGUGUGAAGAAGGCCCUAGGGUUGUAAAGCACUUUAAGUUGGGAAGAAAAGUUAUUGGUUAAUACCCAAUAACCGUGACAUUACCAUCAGAAUAAGGACCGGCUAAUUCCGUGCCAGCAGCCGCGGUAAUACGGAAGGUCCAAGCGUUAAUCGGAAUUACUGGGCGUAAAGCGCGCGUAGGUGGUUUAUUAAGUUGGAUGUGAAAUCCCCGGGCUCAACCUGGGAACUGCAUCCAAAACUGAUUCACUAGAGUACGAUAGAGGGAGGUAGAAUUCACAGUGUAGCGGUGGAAUGCGUAGAUAUUGUGAAGAAUACCAAUGGCGAAGGCAGCCUCCUGGAUCUGUACUGACACUGAGGUGCGAAAGCGUGGGUAGCGAACAGGAUUAGAUACCCUGGUAGUCCACGCCGUAAACGAUGUCAACUAGCUGUUGGAAAACUAUGUUUUUCAGUGGCGCAGCUAACGUAGUAAGUUGACCGCCUGGGGAGUACGGCCGCAAGGCUAAAACUCAAAUGAAUUGACGGGGACCCGCACAAGCGGUGGAGCAUGUGGUUUAAUUCGAUGCAACGCGAAAAACCUUACCUAUACUUGACAUACUUGGAAUGCUUUGUAAUGAAGCAGUGCCUUCGGGAGCCAAGAUACAGGUGCUGCAUGGCUGUCGUCAGCUCGUGUCGUGAGAUGUUCCGUUAAGUCGGAUAACGAGCGCAACCCUUACCCUUAUUUGCCAGCGAUUCGGUCGGGAACUAUAAGGGGACUGCCGGUGAUAAACCGGAGGAAGGUGAGGACGACGUCAAGUCAUCAUGGCCCUUACGUAUAGGGCUACACACGUGCUACAAUGGAGAAUACAGACGGACGCUAAGCCGCGAGGUGGUGCUAAUCCUAGAAAAUUCUUCGUAGUCCGGAUUGGAGUCUGCAACUCGACUCCAUGAAGUCGGAAUCGCUAGUAAUCGCGAAUCAGCAUGUCGCGGUGAAUACGUUCUCGGGUCU
rnacentral:rRNA from 1 species